rnacentral:rRNA from 1 species
CCUACGGGAGGCAGCAGUGAGGAAUAUUGGUCAAUGGGCGCUAGCCUGAACCAGCCAAGUAGCGUGAAGGAUGACUGCCCUCUGGGUUGUAAACUUCUUUUACAUGGGAAUAAAGUGCAGUUUGUAUACUGCUUUGCAUGUACCUUAUGAAUAAGGAUCGGCUAACUCCGUGCCAGCAGCCGCGGUAAUACGGAGGUUGCGAGCGUUAUCCGGAUUUAUUGGGUUGAAAGGGAGCGUAGGGGGGUGGUUAAGUCAGUUCGGAAAGUUUCCGGCUCAACCGUAAAAUUGCAGUUGAUACUGGCAUCCUGGAGUGCAGGAGAGGUAGGCGGAAUUCGUGGUGUAGCGGUGAAAUGCGUAGAUAUCACGAGGAACUCCAAUGGCGAAGGCGGCCUGCUGGACUGUAACUGACGCUGAUGCUCGAAAGUGUGGGUAUCAAACAGGAUUAGAUACCCGAGUAGUC